rnacentral:lncRNA from 1 species
AUCACAAAGGAAACCCCUGUGAGCCUGGGAAGUGGGUGCGCAGGCGGAGAAACAGAAACGGCCACUCCAGGCUCAACCUAUCCAUCCCGGCCUCUUCCUAAGACCAAGGCGCUGCUGACUCAACCCUGCUUCCAGAAGCCUAGGGUUAACAUCUGCUCCUUCCUCCUGUUUGCAUUCAGUGAAAUCCUCUCCUCUCCCAGGAGUUUCCACAUAAAACCUGCCUCUUUGUUUAUUAAGAAUUGUUUACAGAACUCUCAAGCAGCAAAGGCAAAGUACAGAAGAUAAAUAAGAGCAAGCUGGCCGGUGCGUGCGACUGGAUGGACAACAUCUUUACCCACAUGUCUGCAUCAGCUCUGCGUUGUUCACCGACAAAUCCCGUGUCUGGAAGAGUCCUGGCAGGCUGCACGGGCUGGAGAGAGAGCGAGCUGAAACUAAAUAUGCCUUCCAUCAGCCAUGAAAAUGACUAAUGAAAAUGUAAAUGACCACGUGGCCCAAUCCUGGUUUCCAUGGGAAGACCAGCUGGCUCACCACCCAGCUAAGAGUUAUGGCCUAAAUCAGAGGUGAUCGGGGUGAUCAGAGUUGCUUACAUCAACGUUUCAAAACCCAGAAAUAAGAAAAUUAUUGUUCGAGGUCAAUAACCAUGUUUAUAACAACUUCCAACUUAAAAUGGAAGAGGAAUCCCUUGGAGAACACACAUUUCCUUAUGGAAGUUUCCUCAAAAUUUCUAAUAGGAAUUUCAACUAAGUUAAAGUACUAAUUUAAGUAGGACAAGACAGAAUUCUCUUCCUUCCCAGACACUAUUACAAGCCAAACCACGUUUCACAGGAACACGUCCUGCCUGCUAAGGUGUCCCCUAGGACAAAGCUGCUUGCCAGCUGACCAUCACUUGUAUUGCAUACUUUAAAAAGUGUGGCUAACAGAAAGGAGGCAAGACAGAUGUUAUUUAAAUAAAAGCACAAAGCAUCUGUUCAAGCACGAAAAAACAUAUGGGAAAAUACAAGCACAGGACACUCAGGACAAUGUGAUGUGCUGAAGACACAGCGGCAAACAAAAGAGACCGGAUGCCACUGACCUGUCCAAGAAGAAGAACAGGAAGUAUUACAUGAAGGAGAACAGGAAGUAAAACAUGACUGGAGACAGAACUUGUGAAUUCGAGGCAGGACUCUGGAGCCAGCCUGCCCAGGGUCCAGUGCUGGCGUCCACUCCCAACUUCUAACUUCCCUGGGCAAGUGGCCCAACUUCCUUGUGCCUCAACUGACUUAUCUCUGCCACAAGGGGCAGAGGAGCACCCGCACCUCGGGAGUUCCCAAGACUGUCUGAGUGGACCUACAUGGAGCACACAGAAGAGCACCCGGCAGGUAGUACAUGUUUCACAAUAAUCCUUCCACAAUGCAAAUGACAUACACUCUAAACUCAUCAUGGGGGAGUGCUUCACAACACCCCCUGGCACACCACAGCCAACACAACCACAGCCAACACAACGACAGCCGCGCCACAACCAAGAGAGCCUGAAGAGCUGCUCUCAGUCACUGCCCAGCAAGUGUGGGCAGCUGUAGCUUACAGACCAAGGCCACAGACCACAACUUCUGCAGGCUUGCCUGGGACACAGGGGCAGAUAAGGAGAGCACCUGAGGCCUACGCUGAGUCCCACAGCAAGGAUCCGACCCACAUGGGCACAGAAGACUUCUACUGCAGGUUGCAAAUCUUACAUCCUUGACCUAGUGGGUAAAAAAACCCUAAGAAAAGGCAACUUUCUAAAACAAUCAUACUACACUCAUAUAAGCAAUUAAUUUUUAAUAAGCACUGCUCAUAUAUU